GGUGGGGGGAGGAGGAGGAGGAUGCUGCUGUUGCUGCUACUGCUGCCGCCGCUCCUGUGGCUGGUUGGAUUUAGCGCUCGUUUGAUUCCCCGCAGGAGGAAAGGAGAUUAAAGCGAGGGGGAAAUGGGGAUGAUAAAUAAAAUCAUUUUUUUGCAAAAACGAGAGGAGGAAAAAACCUCUUUUUUUCUCUCCAGACGCGGAGAAAUUUUUGCACCCCUUCCAUUCACCUCUGGCUUAUUCUGUCCUCGGGAGUUGUCAUGAAAAGGUAAGAGCGGCUCCCUUUAUUUAUUUACUUAAGACACCCCCGUCCGUCCGUCCGUCCCCCCCAAUGCCGAGACAAACGUCCGUCCGGGUGUUGUUGUGCAGGGUCACGGGCAGAGGGAUUGGGGGCUUGGAGGAGGUGGAGGGAGGAGGGGGCUUCUCUGGCACCUCCCCCCCCAGCACCUUUCUCUCUCGUGUGUGUGUGUGUGUGUUUAAAGAAAAGUGAUGGGGGGAGCUUGAACUGCCCCUCUCCAUCAUAUGGAUGAUCUCGAAACACGUCGGACUAAUGUGCAAGCUGUAUCUAGUUGGAGAGAAAAGCCCGCACCCUCUUGAUUUAGGAUUUUGCCCUUUUCCGGGGGGGGGGGGCGAUACCAAGGUUUGACUUCAGACUUCUAACAGCACCCUUUCUCUCUAACACUCCCCCCCCCGACUGGGUUGCAGGGAAAAUAAUAGUGACACCCCCGUUUCUCUUUCCCUCCCUCCUCUCUCGCUCUCUCUCUCUCUGUGUGUGUGUGUGUGUACACGCUCGCGCGCGAUUUGUUUGUGGCAUUAAUCACCCAGACUGCAAGAGUAUGAGAUGCAAAAAAGAAAGAAAGAAAGGCUUUUUGUUGUUGUUGUUUAAAAAACCUUCCUUCUUAUUAUUCUGAAUUAAUUCCAACCUAUGCAACUGCAAAAGAAUAUCAGAGAGACAAGAGGCGUACAGACUUGAUUGCAGCGUCUGGCUUUUCUUAGCAGUCUGUAUUUUUUUUUUUUUUUAGAGAGAGAGAGAGAGGGAGAAAAAAGAAAGAAAGCCAAUUGAAGGGCAUCUACCUUUUUUCCCGUUGAGAGACAAAAAGAAAAGCUAGGAAAGCGGGGCCGGGGGGGGGAUCCCUUCUUUCCCCUUAGAGCGGAGUCUUUUUCUGGUUGUAUUGAACGGCCUCCGUUAAAGCGGCGUAAGGGAAGGGGGGGGGGAAUCUAGCAGGAUCGGGUCCCGCGUUCCCAUGGGAGAGCGGAAGGGUCUGGAGGGGCGAGUGGGAGGAAGGCUCUCCAGGGACCCUCUGGGAGCGGAGCCUAGGCAGUCGGAGCGGAUAGGAGCCAGGAGACUUUGGCAGGAGAAGAGCGCCUAGUGGUUAGUGGGCCCGGGCAGUACUAACGAGGAGCAUAAAGGGGUGCGGUGGGAAAGAGAGCCAAGGCUCCUGGGUCUUCUAGGAGGAGCGCGGGGCUGAGAGCAGGAGGGAGCCCAAAGCAGGAGGGAGCCACUCGAUCCUUCAGGAAGGGAGUGGAUCGCGGUGGUUCAAGUGAGGCAAGGAACCAGACAUCUUCAGAUUUCCACUGGGGGCUGGAGGACUGGAGCAACAGAGCCCCACCCCCCAAAAGGAUUCUCCCACAAAGGGGAGGGGCGCUGGAGAACCUGGGGUGGGUGGUCGACAGUGUGUGAACAUUGCAGGGUUGUGCCCAUUCCCCGAACACACACACACACACACACACACACACACACACGUCCGUCUGGGUCCUAGACGCCAGCGAUGCCACGCGCCCUCUGAAAUUGGGUUUGGAGGUGUGAGAAGAGCCAGAGUCAGGCCCCCGCUUGGGUCUGCCAGAGGAUCUCGCUGGGUGUGAGCUGCAGGACAAAAGGAAGCCCAGCCUGGCCUGCCUGGAUCAGAAGCUAGCUGAGGUGAGAGCGGGGUUGAAAAGCCUGGUGGAGCUGGGGAGGGAAAGGAGACUUUUCCCCAGCGCGGUUUGGUCAAUGAAUGAUCAUGGAGGGACCACACCUCUCAUCACCAGCAGCAGGAAAGCCAGCAGAGGGAAUCUUAAGAUGGCAGUUUGCAAGACCAGGGACGUGUGAAUGGAGGGGUCCCAAGCCAGACCAUGCCAAGGAAGGGGCUGUCUGAAGACGAUUAGGAGGUGUUCAGGUUCCCCACCGGGUGGCAGGCUGGCUCUUACAGAGGUAACUCUCCCUCCCAAAGUGGGGCGGGGAGGGGGGCGUUGAUAGGAGGCUUGCCUAAACUGGCCUCUUAAUAAGGGUUUUGACAGGUAGGAUGGGAGUUAAAGAGGAUUUUAUUUGUGAGCGGGUGGAAAGGCUGGGAUGUUGAGACAGAGAGUGAUUUAUCUACCAUUCAUUAAAAGAAAGGAAAAAUCUGCCAUUUGAACGCCAGGCUGAAGCACAGCAGAAUCCUUUCUGAGUCUGUACUCUGCCCAAAAUGAGUUGGGAAUGGAUGUAUCCGAGAUCUAGCAGCAGAGGUGGGAGAGAACCCAGGCAUCCUGGUUGGCUCAGGCCCCUCCCCCUCCCAAAAUGACAGAGGGGGCUGGUUUCCUAAUUCCAACCCUGGAUGCAGAGGACUGGGUUCCCCUCGCCUUCCCCGUUCUCAACCCAGAAGCCGCCUCCUACGCCACCCCAAGAGUCCAGAUAAGGAGCACACUUCCUUCCCCAUCCUUCCUUGGCUCCAUGUGCCUGAGGAAGAUGACAUCUCUUAGCCUGCCACAUCUGCCUUCCUCCCCAGCAUGCAUGUGUACACGUGCACACAUGCACAGCAGUGGCUCCAUGCUUCCCAUGCACUCGUGGGCCCAAGGGGGAGGUAGGUGGCUUUGCUGGGUGCCAGUCAGUCACUGACUGAAUAGUGGACUGGGAACUGGGAAGGGCACAGAGGUAAGAGAGAGGAACAGAAGGGGGGUGUUGAUGACCAGGCCCCUGAACUCCUUCAUGCAGAAUCCCCUUCCAGCACCUUCUGCUUUUUCCAAAGAAUUCACAAGGUCGUUCCUCACAUGCCCUCCUAGUGCUCAAAUUACUGGGCGGAGUGGGGGGCGGGUGGGUGAGAGGUAUACUCUUUGUGAUGCCUCUCUUUAAAAGGCAUGGUUUGGCUAAAAUGGGAGGAGUCAGGAGGUGGGGCUUGUCCAUUUUAUUAAGGCCCUCUACCCUUACCCUCAUAGUUCAAGCACGGUGCCCUCUCUCCCGCGUAUGUUGGCAUCUGGGCAACUCUUUUCAUACGUAAGGUCUCAUGCCAGCCCAUGGGAACAGCCAUCUAACAGAAAUAGCAGGAAGGUGUGAGUGUGAAAAGGAAUUGAAGGGAAAGAAAAGAGGGGGCCAGGGAAUUUAGGGAGUUGCCUGGCGAAAGGCCACAGAUCCCUUCUUUUUAAGAGGAGGCUUGCGAUUCAGCAUGCAAAGCACUUGCACCACCUAUGAUCCCUCAACAAGGCAGAGGGGCAGAGGCUUGGCUGGAGAACGUGGGCCACAUUCUCAUGACCACUUGCAUGCCAAGCAAAGGGUGAGGCAGUAGGCGAAGAAGGUAAUGUCCACAGGGUGAUGUUUAAUAGAGAGGAGCACGACAAGAGGUGCUGUAACACAGGAAGAAAGGUGGGAACCAUUAUAGGACCUUUGGCGCUUGAGUAAAGAAAUACUGUCUUGUUUGUGUGUGUGUUCCAUUCAGUAUUCCCUUUUCUCUGUCCGGCUGCCUCCUGCUAUGUUCAGGACACCCUUCUCUAAAAAGCUCUCCUCACACUUCAUGCGCAGUCCUUGAAAUGCCUAUGGAACUCAUUGUCACCGGACAAUGCAAAUACGUAGGGAUUCAAAGUGGGUUUUUGUUUUUGAAAGGAAGGGAAUCCUUAGCGAAUAAUGGAGAAUGGGGUAAAACUGAUAGCAGCCAGCAAAGAUGGGUGCAGGAACCAGCCUCUUGCGGAAGACGACUGUGAAGCUGAAUGCAAGGCAGAGGAUAACAUCACUUUGUAAUUACUACUGUGGUUUCCUCAGGAAACAAUGUUUUCCGUGUGGGGAGGUGGGGGCGGAAUCCCUAAGGUGAUGCUGGCUUUUCCGAAAGGAUGUGCGAGCUCCGGCUUUUCUCAUCCUUCUCUCAGCCCAGUUUCUGUUGCAGGUGGGUGUUUUGCUACAGCCUGCAGGCUAGCUGGACCACUUUCCAUCUUUUGUGCAAUCUUGGGGGCAGUCUGUGGCUGCCGGUCACAAAGAUGUUUCUGCCCGCUUUUUCCCUAGGAUUGGAAAUGGGGCCACACAGUGGGCUCCGCAGCUGUGGGGGCUGAAGCGCUAUUUUCCUUGCCGGAUUCUGGAGACUAGAUUAAGAUGGAUCAUUGGUAUGGCCCAGCCUGAUGGUGACUAUGACCUUUGAGUGUGUGCAUCUUUGUCUAUGAGUAUCUGCGCUUGGGACCCCACAUCGUUGGGUGUGUAGUAUCUGAGCGUGUGCUUCUUUUCAUGUGUCUAUGUGGGCUUUUCACACCUGGAGUCUGGCCGUUCACAUGUGAGAUUGCUAGCAUUUUACAAAGCAGGUGUGUCCUUGGCUGUAUCAGUGGCUGUUUCUGCCUUUCCGAUUGUGCAUGUGUGUCAAUGAUCCUCUUUGCUGCUGUUUCAGGUGCAUCAAAGGCUGCCUCUCUUUCCUGAUCACUGUACUGGGGUGUGUGUGUUAAAUCUCACCUGCUGUGUGAACCUGUAUCAGAGGCUGCCUCUCCCUUUUGUGCACAUGGCUUGUUCUCUCCUCUCUGACUGUGCGUGUGGAUCAGUGGCUGCCUCUGCCCUCUGACUGUCUGCUUUGCCGAUUGCCUCCUCUCUUGAUUGUGUGUUGCUUGGGUGACUCUUCUGGCAUGGGUAUAGCUCGGUAUCAAUAACUGUCUCUCUUCAGGUUGUGUGCGCGCGUGGCUGUUUUAGUGCAUCAAAGCAAAUCCCCCCUUUCCUGACUGCCAGCAUUAUUUAGCAUGCAGGGGUUGGCCACAGUUCAACCUCAACGCCCCCCCUCACCCCCGCCGCCUUUCCAGCUCAGCCAUCAAUUCACUCAAUGGACUUGGACCAAUAAGUCUCAGCCAUUCUCAACAUGGCAAUAUUAGUCAUCUACCUCCAGAGGAUGGACUAGGUAAGAAUGGUUAAGCACAUUUGCCCUCUUGGUCUGCUGUGGAUGGUAUUACAAACAAAUGAAGCUGUAUUAUACUGAGCCAGACCACUGGUCCACUUUGCCCAUUUGUUUACCCUGACCAGCAACAGUUCUCUAUCUUUACCGGGAGAUACCAGGGAUUGAACCUGCAACCUCCUGCAUGAAAAGCAGGUGCUCUGCCACUGAGCUACAGCCUUUCCCCUCUCCAUCCUUGGGUCAAGGCAACUGUCUCUGCUGCCUGAGAAAGAGACCACAUGUGUGGUCUCUCCCUCCAAGCACACAGUCGGAAUGGCUUCCUCUCUCCUCCUGCCACUUGUAGAUUUUUCUCACCGGUUGUGCCUUUUCUCCCUUGAAGAGGCGUUGGCUGCUAGAAGAGCCUCCUAGCAACAGAUUAGCUGGUUUGGGUGUGGUCAGUGAGAGAUGCUGAGGCGCACGACUAACUGUGCUGCACAGAUUUAGUGCCCAGAAUGCAUUAGAGUGCCUACAGCAAUGUUAUCUGUUGAGAUUUUAAAUUGUCGAGGUUUGAAAGGUUGGCGGUUUAAUUUAUGUUUUAAAUUUUGCUUAUUGUAAUUUUAUGGUUAUAAGCCCUUUUGAGACCUGCAUGGUAAAAAGUGGGAUAUAAAUUUUUGAAUAAAUAAAUGGUAUACAGUGCAGCACUACUAAUAGUAUUAUUACUAAUAGCAGUAGUACUGUGAACUUGUAUGAGGACGCACACACAACCAGGAAGACACACUGAAUACAGUGGGGACAAGUAAAUAUUUGACACUGCCUGUGGCAACAACAGCCUUCCACCUAUAUUCCCAUGUUUUUCCCAAAUAUACAAUGAAAUUGCAGCAACACAGUUGCAUAGUGAACCCAUCUGUCUUUAAACACCCCGGUAGCUUUAUCUGCAGGCCUUGAGACAGAAUCAAUAGUUUGCCCCCACCAUUUUGCAAGCGGUUUUCAUCAAAUGUACUUCCAGCAACGUAGCUGUGUUCUUUUAAUUAUUGAUAUGUAUGCACCUCGGUGAUUAGUAGUGUGAGUUGAAUGGAGAAUAUACAUAAGCACUGGUUAGUUUGCACAUUCGCUAGGUGCUGUAGUAGACAGUGUACUCAAAUGAAGAGCAUAAACAGGGAACUCUGCAUAUGUGCAAAAACUCAAGUGAUGCUGGGAAAUGUGUGCAAACUUGACGGCAUAUUUCACACACUGGCUGGUCAUGGUGAGUUCACCACUUGGAAAACAUGUACGUUCUCUGGUCAGGUGUGAAAUGCUCAGAUUCACUAAUAUCCCUUAGAGGGCUAUACACAUUGACUGGUCAGUGUACACAAUUCCCAUUUGUUAAGAUAUUCUCCACAUUGUCUAGGGAGCGUGCACAAUUGCCAGCAUUUGUCAGACACAUUUUCCCAUGUUAACCAUAUUUCUGAAAUAUAGAUGCUUUUGUGAGUAGGGUUCAAUCUCUACAUAUCUUCCCCAUGUGGUUGCUAGAGAAUUUUAGGUACAUGAUUUAUCACUGCUCCUUCUUGCAACAGCUACAGUUAAGUAUACUGCCAUAUCUAUUCCCUUGUGCAAAUAUGGACUACUUACCUGCUCUUGGGGUGUUACGUCAUGUUCUCAAAUGCUCUGCUUACCCUCAUUCAAGGAGAUGUUGCCAUCCUACACAAUGUGAAUUGACACCAGAUUCUGCCCUGUCGCUACAUAGCCUCAUGGCUUGUAUGACACAAUUUUUGUCAUGCAGGAUGCCAACAUCUUUUAAGACAAGGGUGAGGAAACGUUAGUCCAACAACUUUGGGGUCGGGGGGCAGCAGCGGCGGAGGACGGGUUCCCCAUAUGCACAUCCUUUAUGCCAUUGUACCAACAGGUCAUUAAACACUGUAACAAUGUUCUACUUCAGACACUACUUAGACAAAACAACAUGGUUGCAUAUUAGCACACAGACCUACUUAGUCGUGCCAUUGUGUUUUGCUGCCAUAAAUACACUUUAAUGUAGUACUUUAAAUAGCUCCUUUGAGAUGAUAGUCCUCACACUGCACCAUUAUACCUAUAUGUUAAUGCGCUUUUAGAUAAUACCUGCCCGCUUUCACGUUCUUCAGGCCCAUAUUAAAAAAUCUAUCUACAAGACAGUAAGCUCUAGGAAGGCCUCAGCUCAGUAGUAGAGAACAUCCUUUGCAUGUUGACGAUCCCAGGUUAAUCCCUGGCAUCUCCAGGCAGGGCUGGGAAGGAUCCCUGUCUAAAACCACAGAGAGAGGCUGCCACUCAGUGGAGGCAAUACUGAGCUAGAUGGACCAGUAGUCUGACUAAGCAUAUGGCAACUUCACUUGCCUUCUAAUGUCUGCAAUUCCACAGCCGACAUCAUUGCACACUAAAUUACUCCAAAUCUGCAACAACUGGGCUGUCAAGCUUUACGAUAAUUUAUAAAUACAUCCCCUAAUUUUUGGCCCUGUUUCUCACACAUGUCAUCAAGGGUACUGUUUUACUCCAUAGCUACACCUUGCUUCUAGAGAGAAGUGUCAUUGCCUUUUAAUGCCCAGGUCGAAAUAAAGGAAACUGUCAUCCUUCCCACCCUUGGACAGAUUCUUUUGACUGUAGCUGCCAAUAUUGAUCUUGUGUGUGCAGCCCAUCCUAUUACAAAGCUCAUCCAGGUCACAGUUUAUCACAGAUACACUCACAACCAAGCAAAAACCUUCUCUGGUUGCAAUGUUUUCCAUGCUGUACACAGGGAUCCUCCUGAAUCUAGUUUUGGGCUGUAGCUCUUACCCCUUCCCCAGACACACUAAUUCAAGCUGCAAGCAAAUACAUGGGAAUAAUUCUAUAGAUAACACCCAUUCAGAAAGAGAUGCCACGAUUGUAAAUGGCUGUAUGAGAGAAAGUGCCUCCUUUUCAACACACUCUGCCCACCCUCCUCUGCAUAUAAUCCAUGGUGUUGUUUAUUAAUACCAUUCUUCAGCCAAACCUACAGGCUCUUUCUGGCAGUGCCAACACUGAUUCUCACCACCGGCCACUUUUUUCAUACAUGCUGUCUCUGUGUUCAUUCACACCCUCUCUCAUUUAUCUCUCACUGCCUGCCGCCCGCACCCUUGUUCCUUCCUGCAAAAAGCAGAGGAUUCUGGGACCAUUGCCGACCCACCCCCUUCCUCCAGGUGCUCCAGUUUCCAGAUCAAGCCAUUAAUGGAUACUUAUGAAAAGCUCCCCCCCCCCCGCCCCAUGCCCGGCUCACGCUCCACUAAAGAGCAAGAGAGUGUGUGGGCUUCACAAAACUGCCAGGCACAGCUGUGCUAGCAAAAGUGGCCUGUUGUCCGGGUUCCAGGAAACAGAGGUGAUCCAGCGCGAGGCAGAGGGUUUUGGCAGCUUUGCAUGGAAUCUGUGCACACACCAAAACAGCUGGGAAAGGGCCUUGCCAAUGGAGGGAAGAAAUGAAAGAGAGUUUGGGAGCAGCUGUUUGGGCAGGGAUUCUCCUUCACCUGGCACUGAGAGGCAAGUGCUAUAAAUUAAGAACGGAGUGGUUUAAGGUGGUAGAGUUUGGGGGGGAGGUAGAUUGCAGAACCCAGGAAGAUUUAGGCCACAAACACCUCACCUAUUAGAAGUUAGUAACUUAGGAGAAGGUUUCUAAAAUGAAAGGUAAUGAGGCUCAAGUCUCUUGUUAGACCCUGAGCCAGAGCAGCCAAAUUGAAGUUUGGCUGAAAUUAUAUAACUGAAAUGCACUCUGCACAUGCUUUAUCACUACUUCACAAACUGAGUAACAGAGGCUCUGGCUGAUCUCUGACUCGGCUUAAAAGUUGGGUAUGGUGAGGUGUGUAGGGCUGCAUAAAAGUAGCAGGUUAGAACUGGGAGAGAAAAGCCCAAAAUGGAGGUGGGAGGGAGGAGUAUUAACCUGGGAUUACCGGGCAUCAGCAGGGAGAGAUUUUGUGCGGGCAAGUCUUGAGUGUGUGCGCGCAUGUGUGGCUUCCAAAUUAAUUACAGUCAGAGAAGAGCCUGUGAGCGUCACUUGAUGGGAUUAAGGGUUUGUGGGAGGCGUGAAAUUGACGCAUGAAACCCUAGACCCUCUCAUCUCCCCUCUGGCCCUGGGAACCUGGUGAUUGGUUCCUCUUGGCUAAUAACUCCCCCCCCCCAUUUCCUUCCCUGGCAGCCUUUCUUGGUUCCCCACUUUUCCUCCCCAAAAAACCUGUCGCAAUCCAGGGGGAUUUUGCUCCUGCAGGCAGCUGGCAGGUGGAAAUGAAACCUGCCGACUUUGAUUAAACCUCUCUGAGGCGUGUGUGUCGUCUCAUCGGUGCUGUGUGUCUCAAAGAGAAGCAGGGGCUGAUCAUCCCAGCAUCACCUUCCCUCUUCCCCAAAUUAGGAUGCCUCACAACUUUCAACACCAACUGUUUGGAUUUAUUUAUUUAUAGUUUAGAAAGUGAAGGGGAUACACGGGCUUUAUAAAGAUGCCCAGUGGGCAGAGAAAGUGGAUACUGAUGAGUUUUUCCUCACUCUCCCCUAACUUGGGGUCACCCAAUUAUGCCAGUUGGUAGGAGGAUCAGGACAGAACGAAGAGUUGCCUCCGUGCAAUGCAUAAUUAACCUGUGGAAUUGCUGCUGCAAAAGGUGUGAGCAAUGUGUUUAGAAGGCUUUAAAGGGGGAUUAGAUUAAUUAAUGGAUGGCAGCCUUUGUGUGGAGCUUCCAGGUUCAGAGGCAGUGCCACUGAAUAACAGUUGCUGGGAAGUAUAAAUGUGGUGAAAGCUUUGUUUGUAGGCUUCCUGGCAGCAUCUGGCUAGCCAGUGUGCAAAAUGGGAGACUAGACUAGUUGAGCCUUUGGUCUGAUAUAAUGGAGCUCUUUUUUCAUUUAUUUCUUGCUUAAGAGAAUCAUGGAGCAGAGAGUGGGACCAAAAGGAUGUACAAUCUACAUAGGCAAAUCACCCCCCAACCCUUUUGCCGCAUUAUAUGGCAACCAGACGCAUCCACAAAGUCACAUCAAGGGGUCACCCAAUAUCAAACUGUUCAUUCAUUCAGUCAUUUCAUAACAUUCAUACACUGCUUGAUUGUAAGACAACAACAACAAUCUCAAUGUGUUUUAUAAAAAGAUAAAACAAUAAAAUUGAAAAAAAGUCACGGCUAUACUUAAAAACAUACAAAAGUUAAAAAAUUCACGGCUAUACUUAAAAACAUACAAAAUUAAAAUGCUAAAGCUGAUUAAAAUCACUUCAACUUCCUAGCUUCUGGGUAGACUUGUCUAAACAAGAAUGUUUUCAGCAGGUGCCCAAAAGAGUACAGUGAAGGCACCUGCUUGAUCUCAAUAGGCAGGGGUUUCCAAAGUGCAUUAAACAAUUGAGUUCUUAUCAUUGUAGAAUGGGUAUAUGUGGCACCUGUAGUAGUGCCAAUUUUGCUGAUCAAAGUGGUUAAGUGGGCAUGUGGAGCAAGAUGAUCUCCUAGGUAAACUGGUCUCAAGUUGUUUAGGGCUUUAUAUGAGGGGUCAGCAAACUUACCGCGCCUCGGGCUGGUGUCUCCAGUGCCGAUCGCGCGGAGGAGCGCGUGCCCAUAUGCGUGCGCACACGCUAUUUCCGGCGCACUUCUGGGUCGGAGGAGCACCGGGAAUAGCUUGUGCGCAUGUGCACGGGCCUCCUCCGACCCGGAUGUGCACUGAAAAUAAUGCUUGGGCAUGUGCAAAUAACGCUUGCACAUGCGCACAAGCUAUUUCCGGUGCUCCUCCGACCCGGAAGUGGGCAGCCGUGCAGCGCAGUGCUGGUAAGAGUGGGCAGCGGGCAGCGGGGGUCGCCGCGGGCCGGAUUAACGAGUCCCUCAGGCUUUAUCCGGUAUGCGGGCCUUAGUUUGGGGACCUCUGCUUUAUAUGCUAAUAGUAGCACCUUGAAUUUGGCCCAGUAGCAAAUUUGCAACCAGUUCAGAUCUCUGAACACAUGUGUUAUAUGCUGACAAGGCCUCACUGAUGUCAGCAAACAUGCUGCAGCAUUCGGCACUAACUGCAGCUUCUGGAUGAAGCGUGAGGGAAGCCCCACAUAGAGCGCAUUGCAGUAAUCCAGUCUUGAAGCAACCAAUGCCUGAACUACUGUGGCAAGGCUUUCCUGGUCCAGGAAUGGCCACAGCUGUCAAAUCAGCUACAGUUGGUAAAAUGUACUUCGAACCACUGAGACUACUUGAGCCUCCAGUGACAGAGCCGAAUCCAGAAGCAUCCCCAAACUGUGAACGUGCUCCUUAAGAGUCAGUGCAGCCCCAUCCAGGGUAGGCAACUGACCAGUUCUUGGACAUAGGAACUACUCUCACACAGUGCCUCAUUGCAGUAAGGCCCUGUAUCCUAUUGUGCUCCAACCUCACCCCAGACCCUCCAACUGCUCUUUUUUUCCAGGGACGUCCCUGAUUUAGAGAAGCCAUCCCAGUUUCUGACUUGAUCCUGGAAUGUCCCACUUAGGAUGUCCCUGUUUUCAUUGGCAAAAUGUUGGAGGGUAUGGAGUUAUCUGACCACUGAGCCAUCUGAAGGCAAUCCUGUACAGUUUUACCUUGGUUGUUGAACGCCUUGGUACUCAGAUGUUUUGGCUCCCAAAUGUCGCAAACCUGGAAGUGAGUGUUCUGGUUUGCAAACAUUCUUUGGAACCUGAACGUCCAACAGGGCUUUCGCAGCUUCCAAUUUGCUGCAGGAGGUUCCUGCAGCCAAUCAGAAGCUGCGCUUUGGUUUCCAAACAUUUUGGAAGUCGAACGGACUUCCAGAACGGAUUCGACUUGCAAGGUACCACUGUACAGGGAAGGUUUUUUCCAUGUUUAAUGUUUUGUUAUGAUACUUUGUAUGUAUGUUGGAAGCUGCCCAGAGGGCUGGGGCAACCCAGUAAGAUGUGUGGGGUAUAAACAGUAAAAUUAUCAUUAUGGAAUGGGACAUCCCUAUUUUCAUUGGAGAAAUAUUGGAGGGUAUGUUACCCCACAAUAAGGAUGCCCAUCAACCCUAACCCAUAGAUGCCUCACACUAUUUUAGCCUUGUUCUACACUGAAGCUGGGCCAUAUUUCUAUCUGAUAGAAGGCUCCAAAAUGUUCUUUUCAGCCCUGCUGUUUGAUAUUCUGUAACUUUGGGGAGGAUGGGAGCUUCAAGAUGGUGUGACAGUGCUAGAUGAAGUUGCAAUGCUGCUCUCUCCAUCCACUUUUGGUUCUGCCCCCACCCAUGGCCCCAAGUUGUCUUUUCUGAUGGCUCAAUGGCCCUUCACAGGGCCCACUAGCUUCAGCCAAAGGUGCCAGGGGGACACAGCCAGGGUCUAUGUUGGACCACUGAACUAUGAGUCUCAGAAUAUCUUUUGGAUCUAGCAGCCGUCCCCUCCAUCUGUACCUUCCAUCCCUCAUGUUCCCCAGACCCUGUGAUUCUGCCCCUCAGACACACGGACCUCACAGUCUUUCCGAAUGCGAAUGCAGGAUCUCCACACCAGAAUCAGCUGCAAUUGCCUUUGAUUUAAACAACAGCACACAACAAACACGGGGGAUUCAAGGAAAGGUCUUUCAAAGCUUUUCCUGCAGAGGACUCGGACGCCUCUCUUGCCCUCCCUCAGCCUUGAGGUGCUUGAGGGUGUCGGCUUCAUUCCUCCAAUACUUCAGCAGCAUUUGUGCUUGUCAUGCCAGUGAAGAAAAAGUAUGUGAGCUUCGCCAAGCCAGUGUCCCUGUUGUAUCCCAGCUGUCCUUGAGUACUAAGCAAGGGAUCCCUGUGUUAACAGCCACCAACCCAAGAGCAGGUGUAGAGGAUUGCUGUGUCCAUAACCCCCUCUCACCCUAGAGGAAAUUUAGGGAACGUUUUUGUGUUUGUAAGUCCUAGCAUUGAGGCAACAAUGGUCUAGUCAAUGCAACCACCCACCUCCACCCCAGAAGCAGCUGCCUUAGUCCCAGGCAAAAGUGUGUUGUCUGCUUGCGGGGUGCGGAGGCUGUUUGCCCUGGUGUGUGGCAUCCACCCGGCGAUGUCAAACACCCGGGGGCCAUGUUCGUUUCUGUGUUCCUCUAACUGAGACGCGCAGAGGAAAGAAAAAGCGAGAAAAAGGACAAAAACGCAGCACGACUCGGGGCCCCGAGGGGAGAGAAAGAAAAGGCAGGAAAAUCAAUAACUCCGGCAGGAACCAAAGAGAGAGGGGAGAGGAGGAAGAAAAGGGAAAAGAAAGGAAAGCUCAUUGAGGGAGUGGGGAGAAGAGGCAGUGCGAGGGAAGUGGGGGCAGAAGUCUUACAGCAAUGGGGGCAGAGUAUUAGGAAGGCCUCUUGCGGUCUUCUGGAGGAUGUGGAAUGCAGGCGAAAGCGUCAGCAAUAGCCGGCUUGCCUUUAUGUGGUGUGGGUGUAAAGGCAGGAGCUGGCUGUGUGUGUGUGUGUGUUAUUUCACAUGCGUUUAUUUAAGAGCUGAGACUUUGUCCAUUCUAUGGACUGCUUUGCAACAGUGAAAUUCCUACAUGCAGGGGGCCUAGGAACAUAGGAAGCUGCCUUUUACAGAGUCAGGACCCAGAUGACUAUCUAGCUCAGCACUGUCUACACUGACUGGCAGCAGCUCUCUAGGAUUUCAGGCAGGGUUUUCUCCCAGCCCUAUGUGGAAAGGCUGGGAACUGAACCCUCUCUGUGCAAAGUGGGUGCUCAACCAUUGGGCUAGGGCAUAUUAAUUCCUACACAGAAAUGGCAUCUCUAUAAGAAUUUAUUCUUCUUAUUAUAUAUUUACCCUGUUUGGUGUACGUGGUUCUUCCCUCCCCUGUUUUAUACUGACAACAACCCUGUGAGGGAGUGGGGAAAGAGAAGGGGUCCAUGGGUUUAGCGGCUGAGUGGGGAUUUGACACUCUAGUCACUAGACCUGGCUCUUCACCCUUCACAUCUUGGCCAAUGUAAAGGAGUCUCGGGGGGGGGGGGGGAAGAGGGCAGCUAUUUAUUCCUAGUCCCCAUGUGGGUACAUGGUGCACUGCUCACUAUUCAUAAUUUACAGAGCACUUUUAAAAAAUCGACUUUCCAAUCUACAUUGCUUUCACAAACAAGCCUGCAAGGAAGCAGAUUAUCAGUAGUCCCAUUUUACAGAUGGGACAAAUAGGGCUGCGGGAAAAACAGCUUACCCAAGGCUGUACUAGUGAUCUGUGGCAGAGACGCCUCUUGGACCAGCUCUCUAACCACUAGGCAUUGUCAUAUCUAUUCACCCACCCUUAUUCUUUUCCCUCUUUGGGGUCUGUAAGAUGGUAUGGUCUCCGUGUCUGUUCCUGAUAGUGGUAGGGUGACAGGAGCAUGAAGGGGGGAAGAAAGGGGGGGUCUUUGCUUGCUGAAGGCCCUGAUGAGCCGGGCAGAGCGCCGGCUUCUGAUUGCACUCCCAGGAAUAGAAACACUUCUGUGAUUGCGGAAAUUACUGUCUCCUCAGCAAAGAGGCACAGGGGAUAUAUGGGCUUAACCUCCUCUCUUCCAACUGAGAUCAUACUUGUAUUCCCACUUACCCUGGUGUCAAGCCUUGUUUUCAUGUGGCCCCAGGGUAGACCAAGGAAGCCCAUGCGUUUCAGUAUUUAGCCUUCUGUGGUGAAUGUGUGGGUUGACAGAAAUGGUCUAAAUACAGACAUAUGUGUAUGUUUGCUUGCCUGAGUGUUGUUAACAUCAGGGUUUUUGACUAUGUAUACGGUAUUGCAGUUUUAAAAACCCUGGUGUCAAAGAAAAAGUCAUUGUUCUGUUUACUAGCAGAUGUCUGCAAGCCAACCUCAAAGCAGGGUCACCUGAGGGAAAAGAAAGCUAGUGGACGAACAGAACCCUGCCCCUAGUAUGUGGGGAAAGAAGGGAACUAUCCGGGAUAUAAUCAGCAAUUACUAGAACACACUGGGUGCUCAAUACGGUGUGGCCAUCAAUAUACUUCCCAGCAGAUUUGUGCCAGAUAUUGCUAGUAAGAGGUUCCAAUCCUGGCCUGACUGCACUGGCUGCCAAUUAGUUUCCAGGCCCAAUUCAAAGUGCUGGUGUUGACCUAUAAAGCCUUACACUGCUCAGGACCUCAAUACCCAGAGAGGCUCACCCAGUCCCAUCAUUACAUGUCUUUAGGCACCAGGCAAAAACGUUCCUCUUUACCCAGGCCUUUGGCCAUUAAAUAAUCUAGGGACUGUUAAAGCAGGUUUGUGUGUCUAUUAUUAUGAUUAUAUGAUGAUGAUGAUGACGAUGCUAUCUAUUAUUAUGUUUUUUAUUGUGCUCCAUAAAAUAUAUUCUUAAUGUUGUACACCACUUUGGAAUCUUUUGAUAAAGGGCGAUAUAUAAAUACAGUGGUACCUCGGGUUAAGUACUUAAUUCAUUCCAGAGGUCUGUUCUUAACCUGAAACUGUUCUUAACCUGAAGCACCACUUUAGCUAAUGGGGCCUCCCGCUGCUGCCGCACCGCUGGAGCACAAUUUCUGUUCUCAUCCUGAAGCAAAGUUCUUAACCCGAGGUAAUAUUUCUGGGUUAGCGGAGUCUGUAACAUGAAGCGUAUGUAACGUGAAGCAUAUGUAACCCGAGGUACUACUGUAGUAGUAGUAGUAGUAAUGUGUAUGCAUGGGAAGAAGCCACAGCUCAGUGGCUUUGGAACAUAGUGUGUGGUGCCAGCUAGAGGGUAGGGGGCAGGGUGUUUGUACCCGGUGAUCGCAAGAUCAUAGCUUUGUGUUCCAAAUUAAUUAACUCCGAUUGCUUACACAGCAGCCCUUUUAUCUGGAAGAUCUGCCAUCUUUGGAUCAUUCACUUUUCACUGAGCAUCCAGACAUAUUUGUCUUUCUGUUGAAUCCCGGUGUUUUCUUCCCAUGUUUCUUCAGACCUGAUCUGUGAUCAUCAUCAUUAUUUUUGGUAAUAAAACUUAAUUGUAGCAGCCGCCGCCGAUCUAGUUUGUUAGGCAAAGCAGUACUGAGACAUAAGCAGCAGUGGAGCCCUCCUGCCACCAGCAGCACCGCAGCUUACCUUGAGGGAGCUGGGACGGGGGGGGGGGCUUAGCAUGGGCAAGACUAGGGCUGCACAGAUGCACUGGCAGAACCGAACUUGUGCUCCUGCUGGUGCGUCUGUGCGACCUGGACCUUCUCUUUGCCCCAACUUUGCCCGGGUAAGCUGCAGUGGUGCCAGAGGGAGGGCGUCUCUGUGGCUCUGCCCCACCGCACCAACUGCUACUGCUUUUCAGUCAAGGGAUGGGGAACCAAUGGCCUUCCAGAUGUUGCAGGACUACACCUCCCAUCAUCCCUGGCCAUGCUGGCUGUGGCUGACAGGAGCUGUAGUCCAGCAACAUCUGGAGGGCCACUUGUCCCCCCCCUGUUUUAAGUCCCUAUUUGUCUUAAAUUAAAGGAUUCCUAAUUACAGGUUCAUCCUGUUUUAUUGCUUCCUGAUGUGCAUGGGAGCAGAUUAGAGGUGAAUAGUCUUUAAUACACCUUUAAUCUGCUCCCAUGCAUCGUAAUUGCCACUUGGAUAGUCUCUUGGAUUUGCUCCAGUGCUAAUUUCUGUUCUGGGGUGGGGUGGGGGGAGGCUUUAUAUAUAGUUAUUUCACUAUAAAAAUGAAGUGGGGGGAAUAAUGAAAGGAAAUCAAUAAUUAAGGUCUCCCCCAUCAGAACAGACUCUGACACUGAAGCAAAUCAGAGAGGAUAUUCAAGGGACAAUUAAGAGGCUAUUCAUCACUACUCCCCCAUCAACCCUCAUCAGGGAAAAAAAAAAUAAAGCAGGCUGAAUGUACAAGGAGGAAACUUUUAAUUAAUGUUGCCGGUAUCCUCUGCUGAAGGGAUGUGGAGCCUGUGCCAUCCUCCCCCCCCCCCCGAGAUGCUGCUGGACUACAACUCCCAUCAUCCCUGACCACUGGCUUUGCUGGCUGGGGCUGGUGGGAGCUGGGAGUCCAAUGAUAUCUAGAGGACUUACUGAAUAGUACUUACUUGUGAGUAAACAUGAUGGGAGGAUCUUAACCAUGGGGAAGUGCAUUCCUGCAUAAUACAGUGGUACCUCGGGUUACAUAUGCUUCAGGUUACAGACUCCGCUAACGCAGAAAUAGUACCUAAGGUUAAGAACUUUGCUUCAGGAUGAGAACAGAAAUCGUGUGGCAGCAGUGCGGCAGCAGUGGGAGGCUGCAUUAGCUAAAGUGGUGCUUCAGGUUAAGAACAGCUUCAGGUUAAGAACAGACCUCCAGAACGAAAUAAGUACAUAACCAGAGGUACCACUGUACAGUGCUACACUGUCCUGAGCUUUGAGCUGCCAUUCCACCUGGCUGCAGCAGAGGAAGAGAGUGGCCAGUGCGGUGCUGUUGCCCUCCCAAGAGUGGCAUUACCAGGAUGGGGGUGGCAAGGUUGGGGCUGUGCAGUCCCGCUGGUGGUACCAAUCUGGUGCACAGACCUAACCUUGCCACCCCAUGCCCAUCCUGGCCUGUUAAGUGGCAGCAACACUGCUGCUGAGAGGGCCCACGGGGCAGAGAGGCCCACAUCAUUGGUUAGCCUGUGGGGCCAGCUGGCAUUUGGUUCAUUCUCGCUCUGAACUGUUUCCAUUCAAGCUGGCAAUUAUAAGAACAAUUAUGCGACUUUAAUAACUUGUCCCUGAGUUUGCUUGUUUCAGAUAGUAAGGCUGUGUGGGGAGAACCUGCUUUGUUUUUAAUUGGUGAUUAGUAUAUUUUAGGCAUUUAAAAAUAAUGUGAUUGAAUGGAGCUUCUGUGGAAGCUGUUUAAAAUCUGUUUCUAUCCAAUUGCGGAAAAGCAGGGCUUUUCAGCUGUGCUAAGCUUAGGGCCCUGGCAUGGAAGCAACCUCAGAAUCAUGAUGGUUGCUUGGCUCUCUCCUGCAACUAGUAACGCAGAUUGGCCUGGACAUUCCACAUAUGAUCUACUGCAGCAGUGGAGGGGAAACUUCCCAUUUCGCCACAUUCUAAACCCCUGCAAUGAAGUAUGUAAAAAAGGGGCAGCUGAGAAGAGAGCUAAAUUGUCCAUAUGAAGUGAUCUUACGAUUGUCGUUUGGAUAUAUGAAGAGAGAUGCUACUGCAUAGCGGCACUGUUGUGCGUUUGCACCUAUGCCUCCUCAGAAAAGUGUUUGGCUGUCAUGCGUGGCAUAAAAAUGCACUGUGUCUGUGUAUGUGUGUUAGUCUGAGGUGUGGUUAUAAUUGGGUUUGUCAUCUGGCGAGCUGUGAUGUGUUAGGGAGCUCAGCAUAAAUGUAAGAAGGGUUCCCUGACAAGUAGGCAUAAAGUGUUCUUCUUUAGCCGUGUAUUUCCAAACUGGGAAUUAAGCACUAUCUGACCUGCUUCAUUCCUGCUUGUUUUAAGGCGCUGGUUUCUAUUUUGGUUUUUAUGGUAAUUAUUUACUGUUUUAUUGGGAGUUGUAUAACUUCAUAAUAUGUGAUUUUUGUGACUGUAAGUGGCCUGGAGCGGUUAUGCUGAAACAGGAUAUAAAUUUAAUGAAGAACAAUAUUAAUACGCAAGUGUCAAUGCUUCCAUGGGAGCCUGCAAAAAGCUUCACCUGCUGUUUGUGGAUGUUUGGAAAGCUUCACCUAUAUAUAUUUACUGUCUGGCAUGUGUAUAACCCAUUAAAGUUCCUGAUGGUUUUUAUUGUUUCCACCAACACCCUGUAAGCAGUGCUGCAAAUAAUUCUCAAUACUGGAGCUUCCUGUCCCUCUCUGCUCCCCUCCUACCCAUGCCUAACCUACUGCUCUUUGCUGCUGCUUCUCUUGCCCUAUCACAGCUUCCACUGUGAGCUCGUAUUUGCAGAUUCAGAAAUGAUGCCCCCUUGUCAAGUGAGACAGAGUCGUUGCUGUGCUUUGCUAUCUUCCUGGCACAAGGAGUCAAUGGGAGGCUCUCUUUCCCCUCUUCAAGCUACAGAGGAAAGGGCACCAAUCCGGGGGUGGGGGGAGAGGGAGGGAGUGUGCCCACUCCAUGAGUUAAACACUGUUCUAUCAUUGUUUCCUCACUCACAUUAUAUUGCCAGUAACUCUUCAGGAUAAGAAUGAUGGUGAGUAAAGUCACAUGUAGCUCUUCCAUACAGCCUGUGUGCAUUUGCCUUGUUAAUAACCUGGAGGCAACCAGGCAAGUGGAUAACUGUAAGCUUGUCUGUGAGGUAGAUCCAUUUGACAGACGGCAAAACUGAGGACAAAAGGAACUUGCCCAGAUACUUUUGGUCUAAGCAGGAACAGGCUGAGGACUCCUGAGUCCUGUUCUUUGUCCACUGGGCCACAUGGGCUGGUGUGUGUGUUUGUGUGACUUUCCCUUUGGACGAGAGUGUGGUUUUCUAUUUUGCUACAAAAUAUUGCCAUUCCACUUUUCCAUUAAUAAUGCUCAGAACAGCUAGUGUGAUUUUUAAAAGAGAUGAUCAAGGCAAAACCGAACCAAAUAAUUGUAUCCCUGGAUGCAUGGGUCAGUGUGCAUGAGCAAGCAAGGGUGGUGUUCAUGUUACUAGGUGCUGAUGGAGAUGGCUGGGGCCACACUUGCAAAAUUUGCAUUGCUGCAAUGGAGGGAGCCUGUGUGUGUGUGUGUGUGUGUGUGUGUGAGAGAGAGAGAGAGAGAGAGAGAGCGCACCCAUGUAUCUAUAUAGUCAUCUGCAGUAUGUGGGGCUCUGUGUAUGCUUGCAUCUACAUACAGAGUGUGCCUCUCUCUAGCUUCCUCCCCAGUCACCAGUCAUGGGCAUUUAGCACCUGCUGUCCAGGCUCUAUAUCCUGGUACUUCCUGCCUUGGCACCAUUUGGUUCCCCUGCUGGUAUCACAGCUUCUCAGGUAAUCAGAGCCCAGAGGAGAUGGGGAUGACAAGCAAGCUCUGUGCCAGGGAUUUGUGUAAUGUUCCCUUCUCAGCAAACACCUGGUAGGAAUUAUCCCCACAUUUCUGCCCAGUUCAGCAGCUGCUAUAUGCCCCCCUUCAAUCAGCUUGCCCUAGGGAGCCAAUUGAUGAUCACCAUGCUAUUGCCAGGAUUACAAACAGGGCUAUGGGAGGAGCAUGUCGGGAUGGAGAUCUGUGCACUGGUAGCAAGGAAGUCAGACCUCUAAACUGACCUCAAGCAGGUUACCUGUACAGGGCAACCUCCACCAGUAGGCUGGUGACAAGCCACAGUUGGAAAACCCAUCUCUAUUGGGUUUAGGACAAUCAGGCAUGUUCAGAGUCUGAUUUCCAGGUCCUGUCUAAGUCCAGGAAUGCAGUCCAUACAAAAAAGAAGCAUGAGGUGGUGAACAACAAUGAGGCAUGUAUGGAUGUGUAGACCUUGAGACCCAACCACUGGUGCCAAGAAAUGCCUCUUCAGAUCCCAGAUAGAUGAAGCAGAGAACCACAUGGUGCGUUCCAUUCAGGAUCAGUAUAUUAUCUGUGCUUUGGAGAAGAUUAGCGCCCUGAUCAGGGAAAAUAUGGGAUGCUCAGUCCUUGUGAUACAGGAAGUAAGAGGAACCCUGCUGAAUCAGUGCAAAGGCCCAUCUAAGUCCAGCAUUCUGUUUCCCCUAAAGGCCAAGCAGAUGCCUAUGAGAAGCCCACAAGCAGGACGUAAGACCAACAGCACUCCUGCUGCUGUUCCCUAGCGACUAAUAAUCAUAGGCCUACUGCCUCCAAUUCUGGAAGCAGCAUAUAGCCAUCAUGACUGGUAGCCAUUUAUAGAGGCUUUGCAUUUUAAAGGGGCAAUGACCAGGUUUGGGGAGCAGGUGCCUAUUCAGCUCAGUGAGGAGUGUGAGGGAGGACUUUGAUGGUUUGCCUAGUGGUGCUUGGGAUACCCAGGUCAGAGGAUGCUUCUGGGCACGAAGGCCAAUUUAGGAGGAUAAGUCAUAGCAGCAGCCUCUAAGGACCAGCUGACUAUACACUCCAGGGUGGUGGGUGGUGGUGGGAGCCUUGAGCCAAUGUGACACACGUUAACAUAAACCAAUAGUGGGCACUCUGGAAUGUAUGAGAAAUCCAGACUGGAACUGGCAACCACAAAAGCAGGCAAGGGCAGGCAGGGGACAAGGUGGGGAAAGUGGCAUUAAGGUGGCUGGAGAGGUCCAGGCAGUGGUGUAGUGAAACAGGAGUGGGAGGAAAACAGAGCCUUUUUUCAAAGCAGGAACAAUAACAUCAUCUGCCAGACUCCACACACACACCCCUCCAAGAGCAGGAGGAAUAACAUCAUCUGCCAGGGUAACUGACAUCUUCCUUGAUCUGCCAAGUGAAUGAAGCAAUAACAAGGCUUUCAGCUUUUACUAUUGCUUGUGAAAGAUUAGUCAAGGAAGGAAUCAGGACAGCAGGUAGCAUGGAAAGUGUGAGGACAUAUGUUAUAGAUUUUUGGGGUAUAGAUUAUGACAACUUCCCAUGGGGCAAUUGUAUCAUUAAGGGGAAGGAGAACUAGUGGAAUCCAAUCUUGGCUUUAUAUUCACUGAGUGGGAAGAGUUCACAUGGGUUUCAGGAGCCAUUCCCGGUGCUUCUCCAAACUGCACAGCCAGAAGCCUACAGCCACUGAGGCCAUCACCUGAAAGGUGGUUCACCUGCAGAACACCAAGCCUUCCUAUUAUCCUUUGGGUCACAGAGACGAGAUAGUCUGGCCAGAGGGAAUUCUGGUCUGAGAUCAAAUGGUAAUUCAGUUUGCAUUUCCUGUUUCAGGUUUGUAGUUCCUUAUUAUGGACUUGGGGAAAUCAACCAUACCAAGGGCUGGCCUUACCACAAAGCAGCAAGAAGCAGUUGCUUUGGAGCACAAAUGGCAGGAGAGGCAACAUUCUAGUACAAAUCUCAAUAAAAGAAAAUGUCUGACAGAUCCAGCAUUCUAGGCAUGAACACCAAAGCAGAUUGAGAUCCGUUUUCAGAUAAGCUUGGACAAAACCUCCCUGGUUAACCUUCUGAAUUCAAAAUGCCUGGAUUUGGCAAGAGUCUGAUGCAAUUUUGCCUAUUUUACUGCAGGGAAAUAUCUGUUGGCGCUGUUGUCCUCAGUGGGGCUUUAGCCUGUUGGUUUUUCUCCCUACUGUGACCAGCGAUUUUGCCAGGUGGCAAUAGACCAGGAGCCAGAAACUUGUUCAACACUGCGGACUGCAUCAAAAUAAUAUCAUGAGCCAGAGGGCCAUAUCUAAUUUGCAUAUUAGAGCAGCACAUAAUUAACAUACUUGGCAUAGGAUUUCCCUAAAUGUGGCAAGUGGUGGCCAUAUUAUUAUAAACUAUAAUCCCCAUAGCACUUAGUAUGUGUGAAGGGUUUUGGAGUAUCUGUCCAUCUCUUUGAUCCUCACUGCAACUUGGUGAGGUGUCCCAUUGGCAUCCUUGUCGCAGUCUGCUUUGGGAAGCAAGGUAACUUUUGAAAGUGAGGAGGGGAUCUGGCUGCCACUUUCCAAUGUACAGUAAUGAUUUCCAGAAGGAUAUCUGUGUUGGUCUGUCGCAGCAAAAAACAACAAAGGUUUUAUGGCACCUUAAAAGAUCGAAAGAUUUAUUACAGCAUAAGCCUUCAUGGACUAGAGUCCACCUUUUAAUGUGGACAUUAUGGGCAAUCUUCUUGACCAUUCAACUCUUCAAAAAAGGAGCAAAACAUACAGCCUCCAGGGACUUAACUACAAUUGUAUCUGGUCAUGUUGUUCCAAUUGUCUCAAUACAAAUGUUAGAGAACAGGUCUUUACUGCCUCUUAUUAUCCUAUGCAGCAAGUUUAUUUCUCAGAAUGGGUAUGACAAGCAAAACACCACUGUGCACUGCAUUGCUUCUCAACAAAUCACCCUUAUUAUUCCCCCCCUUUUGUUUGUUUAGAAAGCAUACUUGCUGUUGCUCUUUCUUGCCUCCAGUAGUUUUUGCUCCAGCCUAAGUACCAUAUUUUACCUUCACAUCCAUCUAUAAGAGGUUUUCUGUGCUUUUUUUAAGGGAGCUCCUAAACUGUGAAGCAUCUGUACAUUUUUUUCAGGGAAGAAAGAGAGACAGGUUCCUCUCCCUGACCUUGAAGGUUCCACUUCCUCGUCCCAAGUACUUGACUCAUAAUUAAAGUAAUGUAAAGAAUCGCCAAGCA